AGCACUAUAUUUAAACCUAUGAUGAGAUUUUCCUCAUUCUUGGUUACGCUGUAGUGCAAAAGAAUUCCUGGCUCUUUCUGUUGCACAGCUGAUAUGUGACAUUCAGUUGUUGCAUUGUGGAGUUAAGGGACAUGA
ensembl:snoRNA